rnacentral:rRNA from 1 species
CCUACGGGAGGCAGCAGUGAGGAAUAUUGGUCAAUGGCCGUAAGGCUGAACCAGCCAAGUCGCGUGAAGGAAGAAGGAUCUAUGGUUUGUAAACUUCAUUUAUAGGGGAAUAAAGGUAUCCACGUGUGGAUAUUUGCAUGUACCCUAUGAAUAAGCAUCGGCUAACUCCGUGCCAGCAGCCGCGGUAAUACGGAGGAUGCGAGCGUUAUCCGGAUUUAUUGGGUUUAAAGGGUGCGUAGGUUGUUUUUUAAGUCAGCGGUGAAAGUUUGUGGCUCAACCAUAAAAUUGCCGUUGAAACUGGAAGACGUGAGUGUGUUUGAGGUAGGCGGAAUGCGUGGUGUAGCGGUGAAAUGCAUAGAUAUCACGCAGAACUCCGAUUGCGAAGGCAGCUUACUAAGCCAUAACUGACACUGAAGCACGAAAGCGUGGGGAUCAAACAGGAUUAGAUACCCGGGUAGUC